AAUUUUUUUGCAAAGAAAGAGUGAUCUUUAUUUUAAAAAAGAAAUUUUUAUCGUCAAAAGAUAGGUAAUCUUUGAAUGAACAGUAAAUAAUGCAUUUGAAAUUAUAUCGUCUUUAAUUAUUAAGUAUGCUUAAAAAUUCCAAAAACUAGAGUUUGACUUAAUGCAUAUAAACAGAUAAAUUUGAGGGCGUAUUAAUAUGUUUGGCGAAUCGUUCUGUAUGAUAAUAAUAAGAUGUUAUAUAGUAUGAAAUGUGUAUCGUGUAUGUCGCCGCAGCUUUUCCUGUCGAAAUGUUUACAUUACAUACCUACAUAUUUAUUGUACCUACGCCCUUUCCUGCAGCAGUGCGCCGUUGCCAGUCAUUCCGAAACGAUACGCGAUGAUGAUACCUUGAUUUGUGUAUAAACGAUAAUAAUUAGUCGGUGAAUAAUAAUUUGAACCGUAUAGGCAUUGUCCACGCUGACGGUCACGGUGUGCUCGAGCAGUGCGACGAAGUCCCGAAAUUGGGUCAUCUCCGCCUCCACCAGGACGUCAAUUAAGUGUACCAUAUAUGUGUGUCUGUAAAAAUGUUUAUUAUAUACACACUGUCUACCGUGGUAAUGAUAUUAUCGUCGUCGUCGUCGUCGUCGGUGUGUAAAUUGCCAUUUAAUUAACCGUGGCGGUCGCGGAAUCCAUGA